rnacentral:misc_RNA from 1 species
AAUUAGAAAAGUAAUACUUCCAUUGUCGUCCCUUGUUCCCGAAAGUGGAUUCCUUCCCCUAUUUCAGGCAUGGUUGGUUUCUGUAUAAAUAAUGAUGUUGUUUUAUUGCAGAUCGAGCAUGGAAGAGAGCUUUUAGGAUUUGCAUGGAAGAGUUUUAUUGCAGUCUUUUUAUAAGUUGAUUUUACGAUAUCUUGUCUUAUUUUUGUUAUUUUGUGGGUUGUGCUUGCAAAUUACAAUGUGCUUUGAGGAGAAACAGUGGUGGUGAAUCGCAGGGUACAGUCUGAGAGACGGACUGUACCCUGAAAGGCAUGAUUAGAACACUGAAAAAUACCAUAGUUGUAUUGACAUCUAUACUUAUCAUUCUUCUACAGCCACAGCCACUGGGGUUUCUGAUGUGCUUUGGCUUUGUUUGAUAUGUCGUGAGAUCCUUAGGAUGCGUCUAAAAGAAAAGGUCCUCCGAGCUUGCUCCGAUGCGUUUUAAAUGGUUCUCUUUUCAGUUUCUAGGGGGAUCUUUGGUACUGAAUCUAAGCGACUGAGUUGUUUCGAGGAAAGAACAGCAUUUGGGUGAUUGGGAAAGUGCUAAGAAUUUCUAGCUCUAGGGAAUAUUGAGACAGAUAUUCAAUACACCCUUGGGCUUUUAUGCACAUGGGUAUCUGAGUUAAUCAAGCCAGUUUAGCUUAGGUUCUUAUAUUUUUUUUUUUAAACUAAACAUUGGUUGGAUUUGCAGGCUUAGAUCUUUAUCUGUGAUUUUGGUAGUUUUUAUGUGGACUUUUCUAUGUAAUGGGUCUUAGGCCUUUUUAAUGCAA